UACGGGGGGGGCAAGCGUUGUUCGGAAUUACGGGGCGUAAAGGGCUCGUAGGUGGCCAACUAAGUCAGACGUGAAAUCCCUCGGCUUAACCGGGGAACUGCGUCUGAUACUGGAUGGCUUGAGUUUGGGAGAGGGACGCGGAAUUCCAGGUGUAGCGGUGAAAUGCGUAGAUAUCUGGAGGAACACCGGUGGCGAAGGCGGCGUCCUGGACCAACACUGACACUGAUGAGCGAAAGCCAGGGGAGCAAACGGG
rnacentral:rRNA from 1 species